rnacentral:rRNA from 1 species
GGACCUGACUGCUAUCGGAUUGAUACUAAGCCAUGCGAGUCAUUGUAGUAAUACAAGGCAGACGGCUCAGUAACGCGUAGUCAACCUACCCUAUGGACGGGGAUAACCUCGGGAAACUGAGAAUAAUACCCGAUAGAACAUUAUGCCUGGAAUGGUUUAUGUUUCAAAUAAUUUAUUGCCGUAGGAUGGGACUGCGGCCUAUCAGUUUGUUGGUGAGGUAAUGGCCCACCAAGACUAUUACAGGUACGGGCUCUGAGAGGAGUAGCCCGGAGAUGGGUACUGAGACACGGACCCAGGCCCUAUGGGGCGCAGCAGGCGAGAAAACUUUGCAAUGUGCGAAAGCACGACAAGGUUAAUCCGAGUGGUUUCUGCUAAAGGAACCUUUUGUCAGUCCUAGAAACACUGAUGGAUAAGGGGUGGGCAAGUUCUGGUGU